GAUGAACGCUGGCGGCGUGCCUAAUACAUGCAAGUCGAGCGAACGGACGAGAAGCUUGCUUCUCUGAUGUUAGCGGCGGACGGGUGAGUAACACGUGGAUAACCUACCUAUAAGACUGGGAUAACUUCGGGAAACCGGAGCUAAUACCGGAUAAUAUUUUGAACCGCAUGGUUCAAAAGUGAAAGACGGUCUUGCUGUCACUUAUAGAUGGAUCCGCGCUGCAUUAGCUAGUUGGUAAGGUAACGGCUUACCAAGGCAACGAUGCAUAGCCGACCUGAGAGGGUGAUCGGCCACACUGGAACUGAGACACGGUCCAGACUCCUACGGGAGGCAGCAGUAGGGAAUCUUCCGCAAUGGGCGAAAGCCUGACGGAGCAACGCCGCGUGAGUGAUGAAGGUCUUCGGAUCGUAAAACUCUGUUAUUAGGGAAGAACAUAUGUGUAAGUAACUGUGCACAUCUUGACGGUACCUAAUCAGAAAGCCACGGCUAACUACGUGCCAGCAGCCGCGGUAAUACGUAGGUGGCAAGCGUUAUCCGGAAUUAUUGGGCGUAAGCGCGCGUAGGCGGUUUUUUAAGUCUGAUGUGAAAGCCCACGGCUCAACCGUGGAGGGUCAUUGGAAACUGGAAAACUUGAGUGCAGAAGAGGAAAGUGGAAUUCCAUGUGUAGCGGUGAAAUGCGCAGAGAUAUGGAGGAACACCAGUGGCGAAGGCGACUUUCUGGUCUGUAACUGACGCUGAUGUGCGAAAGCGUGGGGAUCAAACAGGAUUAGAUACCCUGGUAGUCCACGCCGUAAACGAUGAGUGCUAAGUGUUAGGGGGUUUCCGCCCCUUAGUGCUGCAGCUAACGCAUUAAGCACUCCGCCUGGGGAGUACGACCGCAAGGUUGAAACUCAAAGGAAUUGACGGGGACCCGCACAAGCGGUGGAGCAUGUGGUUUAAUUUGAAGCAACGCGAAGAACCUUACCAAAUCUUGACAUCCUUUGACAACUCUAGAGAUAGAGCUUUCCCCUUCGGGGGACAAAGUGACAGGUGGUGCAUGGUUGUCGUCAGCUCGUGUCGUGAGAUGUUGGGUUAAGUCCCGCAACGAGCGCAACCCUUAAGCUUAGUUGCCAUCAUUAAGUUGGGCACUCUAAGUUGACUGCCGGUGACAAACCGGAGGAAGGUGGGGAUGACGUCAAAUCAUCAUGCCCCUUAUGAUUUGGGCUACACACGUGCUACAAUGGACAAUACAAAGGGCAGCGAAACCGCGAGGUCAAGCAAAUCCCAUAAAGUUGUUCUCAGUUCGGAUUGUAGUCUGCAACUCGACUACAUGAAGCUGGAAUCGCUAGUAAUCGUAGAUCAGCAUGCUACGGUGAAUACGUUCCCGGGUCU
rnacentral:rRNA from 1 species